AGGCCUUGAAGGAAAUGCUUACCUUUCCAGCCAGCAGCACCACUCUUACCUGCUGUGUUGGACCCAGACCAGCGCCUCACAUCACAAAGAGAAUUACAUCUGACACAACGAGAUACAGAUUUCAACACUGUUUGGCUCUGCACUGGGAUCUCCAGGAAACCUGGCAUGAUAUCACCCUGGAAGCACAGCUUCAGCAGCCACUGUCUAUCUGUUGGAUGAGACCAGUGAAGAAUUUUAAAUUAGAGUGCUUUUCUCACUCUGACCUCGCCCUGGCACGGUGCUGCCAAAUGCCUUUGGGGAGUUUGCCUGGAAGCCUUAAACCUCUUUCGGAUUUCUAUUCAUUUUGCAAAUCGUGUUUGUAAUUGGGAAACAAAACCAAAGCAAUGAAAACAACGUUGAAGCUUGAAGGGGGGCUUGUGAGGCACCACUUGGCAACGGCAGCAGGUGGAACCCUUUAAGGACAGACACUGGACUUUGUACAUCGAGCCAAGUCCUGAUCCUCACUCUGAGGGCAUUAAUAUUCAUUGGACAUGAGAGUCAAGAUGGGGUAGACAGUCAGCUGCCUUUGGAUGAGUAAGCUACAGAGAUUGUGCUACUAAUGGAACUGGGCAUCUACUCCAGCUUCUGCCUCUCCUCAGACAUCAAACAAGUCAAAACACUGGGGAAAACCUUAAGCUCAUCUAUAUUUGCAUUAUGAUGACUGGAAAACUGAAAAUAAAGUAAAAUGACCAUGAGUUAGUCAUGGCUGCUUGGAAGUCCUCCACUCAUCUAUUAUGGAGCCUCACAAAGUCCUCCUACCUUAGCAGCAAGAACUGUCCCAGGAAGAUGUUUCUCACUGACUGACACAAAGCAGUUCAAUCAAAAGUGGAAUAUUCUAGCUGGGAGCUACUAAUGAACUGAUUGCUCAGGUCUUGCUGGUUGUACCCUGGCUGACCUACAGAAAGAAGAGCCACUGGACAGUUUUCCUCAUCUCCACAGAGUUCCUUCCAACCAACUGAUUAUGAAGUAGAGCCUGAACGUGAUCACAGGGAGUUAGAACAAAGGUACAUGUUGUCCCCAGGCAGAUGCACAGCACAGUGAA